rnacentral:lncRNA from 1 species
GAAUCAACCUGGACCUUAUAUCAUGUAUACAACUGUAGAUGCAAAUGGGUAUCUGAAAAAUGGAUCAGCUGGCCAACUCAGCCAAUCCGCACAUUUAGCUCUCCAACUACCAUACAACGUGCUUGGUUUAGGUCGGAGCGCAAAUUUUCUUGACCAUCUCUACGUUGGUAUUCCCCGUCCAUCUGGAGAAAAAUCUAUACGAAAACAAGAGUGGACUGCAAUCAUUCCAAAUUCCCAGCUAAUUGUCAUUCCAUACCCUCACAAUGUCCCUCGAAGUUGGAGUGCCAAACUGUAUCUUACACCAAGUAAUAUUGUUCUGCUUACUGCUAUAGCUCUCAUCGGUGUCUGUGUUUUCAUCUUGGCAAUAAUUGGCAUUUUACAUUGGCAGGAAAAGAAAGCAGAUGAUAGAGAAAAACGACAAGAAGCCCACCGGUUUCAUUUUGAUGCUAUGUGACUUGCCUUUAAUAUUACAUAAUGGAAUGGCUGUUCACUUGAUUAGUUGAAACACAAAUUCUGGCUUGAAAAAAUAGGGGAGAUUAAAUAUUAUUUAUAAAUGAUGUAUCCCAUGGUAAUUAUUGGAAAGUAUUCAAAUAAAUAUGGUUUGAAUAUGUCACAAGGUCUUUUUUUUUAAAGCACUUUGUAUAUAAAAAUUUGGGUUCUCUAUUCUGUAGUGCUGUACAUUUUUGUUCCUUUGUGGAAUGUGUUGCAUGUACUCCAGUGUUUGUGUAUUUAUAAUCUUAUUUGCAUCAUGAUGAUGGAAAAAGUUGUGUAAAUAAAAAUAAUUAAAUGAGCAGGAAUUUUUGUGUCCACUUGACUUGGUCUUGCUUCUUAUUCUAAUGAUGCAAAUUAUACUUUUGUGAAUAUAUCACGGAGUCAUUAGGCAUUCAGCUUCAUCACAGCAGGUCAGGGGUCUCACUGAUGGCAUACAAUAUAGUGAUCGGGUACUCUGACUUGGUAGCACAGUAAGACAGACUUGCCUUAAACUCCUAAUUCAACCACUUACAAAGUCAUUGUUUGAACUUGGCUCUUGUUUAACCUCUGUAAACCUCAGUUUUCUUGUUUAUUCAGUGGGGCUAAUACUUGAGUUACUGUAAACAUUAAAUGGGAUGAUGUAUGUGAAGUGCUUAGCUUGGUGCCUAGCACAGAGUAAGUGGUCAAUAUGUGGUAGUUGUCAUUAUUAAUAUUUUAGAUGAUCUUAUUAGACUUAUACAUCUAAUUAUAGAAAUACAUAGACUUGAUAGAAUUUUAUUUUCAGGCAUGAAGAAAUAUUCUUUGGAAAAGCUAAAUUUUUGGUGAUUGACAUAAAGAUUUACUUGCUCAUAUUAACUAAAAAUUAUAGUACUCUCCAAGAAUUAAUGUGCCCUAAAAAUUUUCCUCCAAAAACUUAUCCUUAUCAUGUGAUAAUGAAGAACAUUUGAUUUCUUGAAAGGAAACUGCUGUAGGCAGCAUCUGGGAAUGCAAAUCUUCAAUCACAUUUCUAUUCUCAAACACUUGGAGAAGUCUAUAAUUUACAUUCAGACUUCAAUGCAAAUUUUGUAUUGUGAACUUCACAUUUCCAAAAAGUUACUUUAAAAAGACUUUAAGACUGAAAAAAAAAAGUUUAUCAAUGCUAAUAAUUUUCUAGUAUGCAAAUGGACAUGUGAUGCCUAUAAAACACAAAAAUUUCUCUGAAAACAAUUUUGUUCUUAUUUUUUUCUUUAUAGUUCACUGAGAUUGGCAUGUGUUUUUACUUUGUAUCUAAGCAUGUUAACAUGUCUUCUUAAUAAAUAUUCC